rnacentral:lncRNA from 1 species
ACUUCUCCACGAUCAAAGCCCUUUCCCUUUCUUUUUCCUUUCUCUCCCUCUUCAACCUCUCCUCCCUUGACUCCUCCACAGUCUUCUUUCCACCACUCUUUUUAUUUACCUUCAGUUUCUCAUCACCAUUUUUCUCAUCCACAUUACCACUUAUACGCUUAUCCAUAUACCACGACAAUUUCACUCCUUUUCCAGCCACCCCAUACCCCAACUUAUACUUUUCAUCCUCGGGUUCCACUACCGGCACGGAUUCCACCUUCAUCUUCUUAUUAGCAUUAUAACCACUAAAUUUCCCUUACUUCUCGUCUUCCUUUCCUCUAUCGAUUUUAAUUGGAUCGAAAAAUUUUAUCCCUUCAAACAAAUUUAUUUACUUAGAGUCGAAAUCAGAUUUGGGUGGUUCGGCAGUCGAUACAGUUUGGGUUGCUGUGGAUGGCUCCGAGGCUUGGGCUAGGCUUGACAAGCAGCGAGCUUGAGGCGCGAUUCGGCAUCUCGCUUUCGGGCUUGCUCGCGCUUCAGUUGCUCCUCCUUGGCGGUGGCUUCCUCGUCUUGCUUGACUUUCUCUCGGUUCUCGUAAUUGUACACAUUCCAACGCUUCUGCGGGAGAAUGUUUAGACCGCCAUUUCCUCCCAUGAUGGGUCUCUAUCGAUCAGAUGGAAACGAAUGGUGUGUUAUUUGAUUCAAAGAAGAAACCCUAAUUUGAUUAGAAUUGAAAAUGCUGUACAUGCAUAGAUUUGGGUUAAUUCAGAAAGAAACUCUAAUUUGAUCGGAAUCGAAAACACAUUUAUAACAGUAAACUAAAAUUUAAAUGUUUUUUCACACUUCGUCAUGGCUUAUCAAUCGGACAUUAGAACUCGUCCCAAUGGCCGCUGAAUUUUCCCUCCAUGGACGCAGUUACUAAUCGAUUUAAAUCCAUAUCCAAAUUGAAUUGAGACAACUGAAUUUGUAGCGUUUUAAAGAUUUUUAAGGGGGAUC